rnacentral:lncRNA from 1 species
UUUUUUCAAACAAUGCUCAUUUUGUUGCACAUAAAAAAUGAGAAAAAAAUGCGUUUAUUGAAUAAUUCUCUAAAAUUAAAUACAAUCUUGGUUUCGAUUACAUGAACAAUUUUUUAGGGACAAAAAUAUCUUAAAAUAUGAUAAGGAAUAAUACUGACAAGUUGCAGUGCAAGUGAAACAUUUUUGUGAAUUGUCAACAAUAUACAGAUAUACAGAAACUCGAAAUUUUGGAAUGAUGAUAAUUUAUAAUAGAUGCAACGAAUCGUCUUACAUCAAACACACAUAUUAUCUUUAUUUACUUAUACUACAUAUAGUAGUUAUAUUCUAGUCAUGUAAGUAAUGUAGCCAGUUACCGUCAUAGUAUGUUUAUUUUUUAAUUUUGUUCUCCUUAUUAUUGUUAUCCUUGUUUACUUUUUUU